GACGAACGCUGGCGGCGUGCCUAAUACAUGCAAGUAGAACGCUGAAGGGGGAGCUUGCUUCUCUUGAUGAGUGGCGAACGGGUGAGUAACGCGUAGGUAACCUGCCUGUUAGCGGGGGAUAACUAUUGGAAACGAUAGCUAAUACCGCAGAAUAGCAGUUGUUGCAUGACAACUGUUUGAAAGGUGCAAUUUCACCACUACCAGAUGGACCUGCGUUGUAUUAGCUAGUUGGUGGGGUAACGGCGCACCAAGGCGACGAUACAUAGUCGACCUGAGAGGGGGAUCGGCCCCCCUGGGACCGAGACACGGCCCAGUACUCUUCGGGAGGGAGCAGGAGGGAAAUCUCCGACAAGGGCGGAAGUCUGACCGAGCCACGCCGCGGGAGGGAAGAAGGUUGUCGGAUCGGAAAGCUCCGUUGUAAGGGAAGGACGAGUGUGAGAGUGAAAAGUUCACACUGUGACGGUACCUGACCAGAAAGCGACGGCUAACUACGUG
rnacentral:rRNA from 1 species